CCAGACUCCUACGGGAGGCAGCAGUGGGGAAUAUUGCACAAUGGGCGCAAGCCUGAUGCAGCCAUGCCGCGUGUGUGAAGAAGGCCUUCGGGUUGUAAAGCACUUUCAGCGAGGAGGAAGGUGGUGAGCUUAAUACGUUCAUCAAUUGACGUUACUCGCAGAAGAAGCACCGGCUAACUCCGUGCCAGCAGCCGCGGUAAUACGGAGGGUGCAAGCGUUAAUCGGAAUUACUGGGCGUAAAGCGCACGCAGGCGG
rnacentral:rRNA from 1 species